rnacentral:rRNA from 1 species
AACGAACGCUGGCGGCAGGCCUAACACAUGCAAGUCGAGCGCCCUUUCGGGGGAGCGGCGGACGGGUGAGUACCGCGUGGGAAUAUGCCCUUCUCUACGGAAUAGCCUCGGGAAACUGAGAGUAAUACCGUAUACGCCCUAUGGGGGAAAGAUUUAUCGGGGAAGGAUUAGCCCGCGUUGGAUUAGGUUGUUGGUGGGGUAAUGGCCUACCAAGCCGACGAUCCAUAGCUGGUUAGAGAGGAUGAUCAGCCACACUGAGACUGAGACACGGCCCAGACUCCUACGGGAGGCAGCAGUGGGGAAUCUUAGACAAUGGGGGCAACCCUGAUCGAGCCAUGCCGCGUGAGUGAUGAAGGCCUUAGGGUUGUAAAGCUCUUUCAGCUGGGAAGAUAAUGACGGUACCAGCAGAAGAAGCCCCGGCUAACUCCGUG